rnacentral:rRNA from 1 species
GGUGAACGCUGGCGGCGUGCUUAAGACAUGCAAGUCGAACGGCAGUCUUCGGACUGUAGUGGCGCACGGGUAAGUAACGCGUAACUGACCUACCCCAAAGUCGCGGAUAACGAUUCGAAAGAAUCGCUAAUACGUGAUGUGCUGUCAGAUUGUGUUCUGCCAGUAAAGAUUGAUUGCUUUGGGAUGGGGUUGCGUUCCAUCAGCUAGUUGGUGGGGUAAAGGCCCACCAAGGCGACGACGGAUAGCCGGCCUGAGAGGGUGGCCGGCCACAGGGGCCCUGGGACACGGGUCCCACUCCUACGGGAGGCAGCAGUUAGGAAUCUUCCACAAUGGGCGAAAGCCUGAUGGAGCGACGCCGCGUGAGGGAUGAAGGUCUUCGGAUCGUAAACCUCUGAAUCAGGGACGAAAGACACUUCGGUGGGAUGACGGUACCUGAGUAAUAGCACCGGCUAACUCCGUGCCAGCAGCCGCCGUAACAC